GAUCAGGUAGGGAACUCGGUUAAUAUAG
rnacentral:rRNA from 1 species